rnacentral:rRNA from 1 species
AGCGGUUCUGACGUGCAAAUCGAUCGUCAAAUUUGGGCAUAGGGGCGAAAGACUAAUCGAACUAUCUAGUAGCUGGUUCCUGCCGAAGUUUCCCUCAGGAUAGCAGUAACGUUUUCAGUUUUAUGAGGUAAAGCGAAUGAUUAGAGGCCUGGGGGUUGAAACAACCUUCACCUAUUCUCAAACUUUAAAUAUGUAGGAAGUCCUUGCUACUUAAUUGAGCGAGGACAUGCGAAUGAGAGUUUCUAGUUGGCCAUUUUUGGUAAGCAGAACUCGCGAUGCGGGAUGAACCGAACG